AAGCAUGUGUGCACACUGUAUUUAUGGAUAAUGACUAGGCUACUGUACGAUAUCUAUCCAUAUACAUACAGCAAUCGGGUUGAACCUGGACUUCAUUAAAUCCUACAUAGCGUACGUAGUGGACAUGGUUUCCAGAUCUCGCUCUCUGGGUUUACAAGUGAGUGGGUGUGGGUUUAAAUAUCUAAUGGAGAAAAGGCAUUGCAGAAUCUCUCACCGGACGAGAAUAGCAUCGUUGUGUCCACCGCCCCCCACCCCACAACACCACACCCCACCCCACCCAUCUAACGGAUUUUUUUUAAACGGUUCUUUAUCGCUUCGGCAGCCAACACUCUGAGUUUGUCUUGACUCAGCCCAAAUCGCCACCAAAAACCGAUUCCGUUCUGUAUGUUCAUGGAUACAGCUCUUAUAAGUAUUUGGUUGGUCAGCGUGACAUUGGCUUCAAUGGUGGAUGACCUUGUGGGAUGACCCAUCUGUCGUCCUGGGCCUAAACAGUGGCAGUGAGAGAGCUAUGCAGAGCCUGAGUGCUCUGAUUCUCACCUCUGCAGAUGGUGAGGGCGCCUCACGUAAAAACAACACAAAGGUCAGAGGUCAGCGAUGUUGACUACUUGUAGCACAUAGCAAUUCAUGAAAGUGUUGAACCCAUAGAAAUUCAUGAAAAAUAUAUUUUAUGUGAAAGAAAAAGGGUAUGUUUUCACAUUAUCAUUUGUGCCAUCAGUAAGAACUUUAAGAUCGGAGCAUAAAAUGAGGUCGGUAGAUUUUAGGACAAAAUGUGAAGGCAGGCCUGGAGACAAAACGUGUCAAAAAGGAGCAAAAAAGUAGGUGACACCCUCUUUUUAAAGUGUUAGUAAACACACACAUUUUGUUGCACUAAACACACAGUCGAACACAUAAAACCCUGAGGAUUACUUUGUUGUUACGAUUGAUUUGACAUCAGUCGAUCAUCACAAAAACAAAGUAUAGUUUUGCUUUUUAGUGUCGUCAAAAUCUCUGGAAUACUUUAUGCAUGAUGAGGUCACAAUGUGGUUCUAAUUUUGUGGUUUGUGUUUAGUAAUAAAAUGACAAAUCAGUGACUAAAAUGGAUCAUUUUAGUAGCUGGGUAAUUAUAAAUGGCUUUGACAAGAUGAUGCAUUGGAAAUGAUGAAUGACAACUGCACGUUUUAAAAUAUGCACAUGUGUACUGUCAAUCAUAUUUCAAAGAUGUACAAACCGAAUCUCUGUUGUUCUAACAGAGUACAUCUGUGUAAUCACUUGCUAUUAGUUGAGUUAGUCUUCCUUCAGUCAUCCAUGCAACAGGUAAGGAAUUUUGGACUUGAUUUGAUGUUGCUUUGGAUAAAAGUGUCUGCCAAAUACUUAACCUUACACUUUGUAAAUCAGCUAUACACUACACAUAGAGCAAAGCAACAUGCUAGUGUAGCAUGAGAAGACUCUACACCAACAUUUUUCAGGCAGGUAAAAGGCAUUUUGACUUUUGAGGCCAUGGUCUUUUUUGUAUUAUUUACAAAUGAUUUUUGCCUGAUAAUACUUUGUCAGUUCAAAUCCUUAAACAUGUCUGAAAAUAUGCUUUGCAUACUGAUUAAAUAUGGUAAUUGUGGUAUAUGAUUUUGUGGUACAUGUGGUACAAAUAUAAAUAUGAUAAAAGUAACAGUCCAACACUGUGGACCAUCUGCAUAUGUCUAUUCCACAACUGUGUUAUCAUAUAAAUAUAUGUACAAAGGAUCGUAAGGGGAUAAGAUGUACAAUUUACAGAACCACUGAUAUUUCUGGGGACAGAAAUGUUUCCUUCCUGCUUAUAGCGAUCUCACACAAUACCACAUUGCUUCCACAACAAUUACUAAUUAAAUGACUACAUUGCCCAUAACUAGGUAUAUGUGACAUAAGCCAGAGUGUCUCUGUCAGUGUGUUACAGCCACUCGGUUACCCCUGAAUACUCAACUUAAUUGGGUGUAUAUCUUAAGCACAGGCAUUUCUCCUUCUAAUUAAAGAUUCAUGUCAGAGGCAAGACUAAAAGUCAUUAAUAAAUAAUAUGACUUGAAAUCAUACAAUUUACUGAAUACUUGGAGGAUGAAAAUCUUCCAGAUAAAAUUGUUGUUCGUUUCUUCCCACUGAGUGACCAAGACUAUUCAUCUAGUUUUUUUUGUUUUUUUUGACAAAGAAAGUGUUUAUGAGUCCAAUAAUGUGAGUGUAACAGUAAUGUAAGACAUGGCGCUGUAUUUGCAUAAUGAUGAUAGUGUGUGCAAUUACUUCACAUUCACAUUAAUCAGUUCAUUCAGACAUUUAUCACUGAAGGGACCAGAAAGUACAGAUCUCUGCAUUUAAAUCAAGCAGGAUUUGCUUUACAUGGACAAAAUCAUAUUUCAUCACCAAAAUAACAGAGAACCUCCAUUAAUUAUCGUCUUAAGUACAAAUUUGAUUAAAAUGCAUGAUUAGUAUGCAUCAUUUUUACUCUUUAUUUUACUCAAUAAAGCAAAAGGGAUGAGAAUCCUAAAAAUGUGCAUCUUUCUGAAUGGAAAUGGGAACAUCUGUGACCAUAGGUGGGAUGUUUUUUGUGACUUCGAUGGUAAAAUGGUACGUUAACUAUACUGUCUGCUCAAGUCGAACUGGCUUUGAUAUUUUAAAAUGAAAUAGCAUGGCUAAUCACCUAAAGAAAUAUUAAGCAGUAUGCCACAAAAAGGGUGUAAUGAUAUACCAUUAUAAUGAUGUCUGUAUUCGUCUUUGACUUACUGCGGUUCAAGGACAUGAACCAUUUCAGAGAUAUUUAUCCUUUGCACACAAAUCUAUAUCUUAUCUGCCUUUUUUCUUUCUUACACUUUUUUUCCUAUUCUGUCAUUCGUAUCACAGAUUUUUCUAACCAACAUGUCUUGAGGCUUAAGAUAAAACUAUUUUCAUAGCGCAUGAAAUCCUCAAUCAGUGACGGGUCAGAUGAAUUUCCACAAUCUAUUGGUAGCUGGAAUAUAAGAAUAUAUGACGAAAACAAUAAAGAAAGUCGCUUUUACUGUGUCAUGGAAAGGGACUAUCAGCAGAUCCAUCAGAUAAGGAGGCAUAAUUAAAAUGUCACCUCUCUUGGCAGUGGAUAGUCAUAAUCGAUCUACAUACAAUAACUCAUUACUUUUUGUAUUUCUAGAAAAACCUGAUGAAGAAAGUUAUCUGAGGUACCAAGGAAUGACAUGGAAGGAAGCCGUUUUAUUUUCAUAGAUGGUAUUAAAAGGUCUAUUGUUGUCAGACUUUUAAACAGACAAUUAAAUGACAACAAAAAAAGAGGGACGAGAAUGAACCUCUCCACAAUUGCUUGCAGACAGGUUGGUAUGCAGGGAUGUAGCCGGCGUUCUGCGAGAGGGUGGGUAGCUCUCCCCUAAAAUCAGUUGAUUUUAUGUUGUGCAGAUUAUCCAUGUUUUGAGUCUGUGUGUGGGAGUGUGUGUUUGUGUGUGCGAAAGAGUGUCCUCCAUGAUGAAAAUCAUGGACAUGAUUUCGACUCUAUCUCAGGUUGGGCUGGAUGACCCCCUCUGAGUGUGCCCAGUUAAAACACUACUGAGUCCGAGCCUUUUUUAGGUAGUCUGACAUGCCUUGAUGUUUUUGUAUAUUUCCCCUAAGCAAAAACAUUGAGGCAAAAGUGGCAUUUAUGAUUAUAUUCUAGAAGACCUCAGCAAUAAUAACAUGAGAGUAAAAGGAAUGUAGUAAAAAAAUAUAUAUAUUUAAAUCAAAUCUAAACAUACCCUUACAAAAACGACAUAUCCCUCGUUAGGGAGAGUGGACUCCAAAGGGUUUUAAGUAAGCCAACUAAUACUGAUACAUUCUCAAGAAUUGCCCACUAAUACUUGCAAUCCUAACUUAAAUAGUCUUCGGUAGGCGCUUUCAGACUGGGCUGGAGGAAGAUUUUUCAUAGUUCUUAGAACUGUUGAAGGAAGUAUCCCCUUUUUUGUGAGUCCACACUGCAACGAUCAUGGUGUGAGGUAGUCAUAAUAACCACAUAAUAACCACAUACUCAAUCUAUUUGGUUUGGAAACAACUAUGGAUGCAGUUUAGUGGAAAAAAAGGUCCUUUCAUUUUUAACUUAAACAUAUCCAAAAGCAUCAGGCCGUCAUGGAAUUUAGGCUUUAACAGCGUGCAUAUAUGGAAACAUAUUGUAUGGUUUGAGAUACCCGCUAAGGGUGAGGUAUAAAGUUAAAAGCUAAGAGGCAAUUCAAGCUGCAGAAAAGUGUGUGGAAUGCCCUGGCAUUUUGAGCAGUUCAAAUUUGUGUGCAAAAUUACAUAUAGGGCCCUGCCUAUUACACCAGGUAUAGAGCUCUUCUGAAGUUAACUGCUACUCAUUCUUUGAGUGAUAUGAUACCUGAUGUUGGUCAAACAGAUUACUCUAUACGUUUCAAUAUGAUGGUAUUGAUGGGUUUAAAAACUGUGGAGAGAAGAACAGAAUACAAAUGAAGCACAAAUACAGUAAAUAUCACAUGCACUAUUUUGCAAUGCCUUUGAUUCAUGGAAGGAAUUCUGAGAAUUCAUGAAAGAACUUACAUGGCCCAAACUCAUUUAGAUAGCACCGUAAUUAUUUUUAAUGAUAUCUACUAUUUCUACAGUAAGAACUAAAGGAAAAAUGUGUGCAAAUCUGGAAGGAUCAAGUAGGUUGGAAAAGAUUAAAUAUUUUUAUACAACAUGCUAAGUGUUAGCAUUCCAGUCAGAGGAAAAACAUAUUUUAGGGAAGGGAAAUGUUUAUUAUCAGUUGCCUGAAGUCAUACUACAGCCAUACCAUCAACAGAGGACUCGGCUGAAUGUGUCUCUGUGUCCGCAAACAGCCGUGGCUGGGGGCUGCUGGAGCCUCGUCUAGAAAUGCUACAAACAGCAUACAAAGGCAUGCUCCUUUGAUAUCUGGUAAGCUUUCAAAACAAAACAAAACC
ensembl:lncRNA